AUCGCUUCUCGGCCUUUUUGCUAAGAUCAAGUGUAGUAUCUGUUCUUAUCAGUUUAAUAUCUGAUAUGUUCUCUAUUUGAGCACACUAUAUUAAAUGGAUUUUUGGGACUGGGAGAUNGAAUAGGGGCUUGCUCCAAAAAAGAAAAAAA
rnacentral:snRNA from 1 species